CGCGUCCGUCUAGAGAACAACAAUUUUCCCAACUGAUUAUUGGCCUGUCUGAAAAGUCCCUGAAGAUUUUCAAUGGACGACAUUGGAAGUUUCGUGCGGAUACGAAAGUCAUCGAGGACAAGCGUACACUUGUGGAUCGUUUGAGGCUGUGGACGUCUGUUUCGCGAGGAGUGCUAGCACUGUUGGGAAUCAUUCUCGCUUUCCUUCGUAACGCGUAUGUCUAAUUGCGACCUAGAAGCGAGUUCCGAUGGCAAGGUGUAAGUGAGCCUGUUUCUACUAGCAAACUAAAAUGUUUAUAUCUCAGAAAUGGUUGACCUUUUGACCUAUGUUUAUUACAGCUUUUUUACUCAGUACCGUGUGUCCUAUAUACCAUAUAAAUAUUGAAUUGUUUUUUCUUAACACCCUAUAUAUCAUGUAUGUAGCACUACACAUCACCUUUCUGUUCCCGUGAUUAACUCUAACAAUUGUAAUUUCUCUAUCAAACUAAUAAUGUGUUUUAUAUUUGUAGCAAUUCUGUUCUCAUGAUCUAACUCUUGCUAUUACUUUAACAAUUGCUAUUUCUCCAUCAAACUAUUAUAAUGCGUUUUAUAUUUGUAGCACUAUACAAUACGUUUAUUAUGUAUUGUUUCAUAACUGGUAAACAUGAAAAAUUGUAUCAUGUUUCAUGUUUAAUAUAAUUAUAAUUAUAUACCGUUUCAUGUUUGACACAAAUAAAAAGAUACAAUGUUGCAAAA